rnacentral:lncRNA from 1 species
CUUUUCUCCCCCAGGCUACUGAGCUAAAGUGAAGACUUCAUUCUUGCUAGAGAUUGAUAGAGAAAAGUGGGUCCCUGGGCACAGCCUGUCUUGCAGACAGCAGAAAGCUACUUUAGAACGUCCCUCUGGAGCGAGCAUUUAUUGAGUUCUUACUGGGAGCAAAGUGCCAGGUCAGGCCUUGGUCAAGUUCCUCCCUGCAGCAGAUGGUAUGGAGCCAAACUAGUAGCUAAGAUAACAAGAGUUUACAAUAGGAUACAUAAAGGCAAACAUCAAGGAAAAGAGGAGAGGAAGAAGUAUCUCUAUUUGAAGGAUUACGGAAGACUUUACAGAGCAAAUGGUCAAACAGGUUGGCCUUUGAAGAAGUAA